UUAGAGUUUGAUCCUGGCUCAGAGCGAACGCUGGCGGCAGGCUUAACACAUGCAAGUCGAACGGGCGUAGCAAUACGUCAGUGGCAGACGGGUGAGUAACGCGUGGGAACAUACCUCUUGGUUCGGAACAACACAGGGAAACUUGUGCUAAUACCGGAUAAGCCCUUACGGGGAAAGAUUUAUCGCCGAGAGAUUGGCCCGCGUCUGAUUAGCUAGUUGGUGGGGUAAAGGCCCACCAAGGCGACGAUCAGUAGCUGGUCUGAGAGGAUGAUCAGCCACAUCGGGACUGAGACACGGCCCAAACUCCUACGGGAGGCAGCAGUGGGGAAUAUUGGACAAUGGGCGCAAGCCUGAUCCAGCCAUGCCGCGUGGAUGAUGAAGGCCCUAGGGUUGUAAAGUCCUUUUAACGGGGAAGAUAAUGACGGUACCCGUAGAAUAAGCCCCGGCUAACUUCGUGCCAGCAGCCGCGGUACGCC
rnacentral:rRNA from 1 species